AUUGAACGCUGGCGGCAUGCCUUACACAUGCAAGUCGAACGGCAGCACGGGAGCAAUCCUGGUGGCGAGUGGCGAACGGGUGAGUAAUAUAUCGGAACGUGCCCAGUCGUGGGGAUAACGUAGAGAAAUUUACGCUAAUACCGCAUACGAUCUAAGGAUGAAAGCGGGGGAUUCGCAAGAACCUCGCGCGAUUGGAGCGGCUGAUAUCAGAUUAGGUUGUUGGUGAGGUAAAGCUCACCAAGCCGACGAUCUGUAGCUGGUUUGAGAGAACGACCAGCCACACUGGGACUGAGACACGGCCCAGACUCCUACGGGAGGCAGCAGUGGGGAAUUUUGGACAAUGGGCGAAAGCCUGAUCCAGCAAUGCCGCGUGCAGGAAGAAGGCC
rnacentral:rRNA from 1 species